rnacentral:rRNA from 1 species
UACGUAGGGGGCAAGCGUUGUCCGGAAUUAUUGGGCGUAAAGAGCUCGUAGGCGGUUUGUUGCGUCGGCUGUGAAAUCCCGAGGCUCAACCUCGGGUCUGCAGUCGAUACGAGCAAACUAGAGUGUUGCAGGGGAGACUGGAAUUCCUGGUGUAGCGGUGAAAUGCGCAGAUAUCAGGAGGAAUACCGAUGGCGAAGGCAGGUCUCUGGACAGUUCCUGACACUGAGGCACGAAGGCCAGGGGAGCAAACGGG